AUCUGAAGUUUGCAUACAAUACUGGAGCAAGAAUUUGCUGUUAAAAGCAGAGUCUGGGCUAGAAGAGAUGGUGACAGAGGGAAGCAUCUACCAGGAAAGUCAUCUGUAAAUGGACUGCAGGGGAUUCUAGCCAUUCAUUUCCUGUGACUUCAAAUACAAAGCAAAGUAACAGCAACAACAACAAAUCAAUGACAGACUUGGUAGAAUCACUGCACAAACAGCUUGCAUGGAAAAAUGAUUUGGAGUGUGCUUUAGAGAAAAGAGCACUAUGCCCUACAGUAUGUUUCUCCUAGUUCAAUGUCUUUCUAAAUGGAGUGGUUAUUAAAAUGCUGAGUUGGGGGCAUCCUGCUCCAGAUUUACCAAAUUGGUCUCCAGAAGAGUCAACCUAAGGGAAUCUGCAUUUUUGAUAAGUACCUUGGGGUGAUUCCUAGGUUUGAGAACCACUAAAGUGGUGUUUCACGCUUGACAGUAGAUUAGAAGCACCUGGGGAACUUUAAACAGUACUGGAGUUUGAGCACAGCCUGAGACCAUUUAAGUCAAUCUCUGGAGUGGUGCCUAGGUAUGGGUGUUUUAAGUUCUCUUCAUGAUUUAAUAUGUAGUCAAGGUUUCAAACUCAUUGCCUACAGUCUGAUUCCAAUAAGAGAGAUUUCAACUGGUCAAGAUGGGCAAAUAUCCUAUUUUUUCCUCAGGGGGCUUUGAAUACCAUGUAUCUGUUCUCUCUACAGCAGACUCCCAUAUCUACCUGUUCAUGCACCAUCUUGCCUUGGAUGUCUAACAGCCAUCUCAAGUUAACAUUAACAUUGAGAUGUUAACAGAUAUUAACAAUGUUCACAAACUUAAUAGUAUUUAAAAUUAAAGUGAUUUCUACCUCCUAAACAUGCACUUCUUCAUCUCAGCAAAUGGCAAUUCCAUUCUUCCAGUUAUUUGGGCCACUCUUUGGAGUCUCUCACAUUCCAUGUGUCAUCAGCAAGUCCUGUCAAUUCUACCUCUGAAAUAUUUCUGGAACACGCUCUCUUGUGAUAUCCAUUGCUACUACCCUAGUCCAAGCCAGCAUCCUCCAUCGACGGCACUGUUCCAACAGCCUUCUACCUGGUCUUCCUGCUUCAACUUCUUUCCUAUGUUCUAUACUGCACACAGCAGCCCAAAUGGUCCUUUUUAAAAACUUUUAUUGUGAUAAAAUACACAUAACAUGAAACUUACCAUUUUUAGGUACACAACUCAGUGCUCAGUGGCAUUAAAUACAUAAUGUUAUAUAACCAUUGCUACUAUUUCCAGAACUUUUUCAUCAUCCCAGAGUGAUCUCUUUAAAACAUAGGUCAAAGCACGUCACUCUUCACAUCUCACUCAGUGAAGGACCAAGUCCUUCCUGUGGCCCCAGAGCCCUUCUGCUGUCCUCUCAACACUCAUCUUCCCACUCACCCUGGUCACCGACAAAGUGCUCCUGCUUUAGGACCUUCACACCUGUUUUUCCCUUUGCUGGAAUGCUCUUUCCCCCAGAUACCCUUGUUGUAUCCUCAUCUCUUCAGAUCUCUGCUCGGAUAUCCUCUUGUUAGAAAGGCUUUCUCUGAUACCCUUUCUAAAGUAGCACCACACCCCAGUUAUUCUCUAGCCCCACUGUGUUCUUCAUGGCACUUAUCCCCUAACAUAGACAAGUGCAUCUUCCCCACUAAAAUGUCUGAGCUCUGUGAGAACAGGGACUGCAUCUGUUCUAACUGCAGUAUCCUCAAACAAGUGCCUUCCCAGAGUGGGUGUGCAAUAAAUACUGGCUGAAUGAAGAAGAUAGCUCAGCUCGUGAUGGGUAUUUAAAUAUCACUCGACCCAAAGUAAAUUCAUUAAACUUUCAAAAACAGCUUUAUUGAGGUAUACUUAACAUACUAUAAAACUAACCCAUGGACACUAGUUUUAUGUUGUUCAGGCAAGUAUUUGGAA